rnacentral:rRNA from 1 species
GACGAACUGUCCUAACGUUGUUCGGAAUGACUGGGCGUAAAGGGCGCGUAGGCGGUUCGUACAGUCAGACGUGAAAUUCCCGGGCUCAACCUGGGGACUGCGUUUGAUACGUGCGGGCUUGAGUUCGGAAGAGGGUCGUGGAAUUCCCAGUGUAGAGGUGAAAUUCGUAGAUAUUGGGAAGAACACCGGUGGCGAAGGCGGCGACCUGGUCCGAUACUGACGCUGAGGCGCGAAAGCGUGGGGAGCAAACAGG